AUUGAACGCUGGCGGCACGCCUAACACAUGCAAGUCGAGCGGUAACAUGAUCUGUAGCAAUACAGAUUGAUGACGAGCGGCGGACGGGUGAGGAAUAUGUAGGAACUUGCCUAAGAGAGGGGGAUAACCAAGGGAAACUUUGGCUAAUACCGCAUAAACUCGAGAGAGAAAAGUUGCCCGCAAGGGUGACGCUUUUAGAGAGGCCUGCAUCCGAUUAGCUAGUUGGUGAGGUAAAAGCUUACCAAGGCGAUGAUCGGUAACUGGUCUGAGAGGACGACCAGUCACACUGGGACUGAGACACGGCCCAGACUCCUACGGGAGGCAGCAGUGGGGAAUCUUGGACAAUGGGGGCAACCCUGAUCCAGCGAUGCCGCGUGGGUGAAGAAGGCCUUCGGGUUGUAAAGCCCUUUAGGCUGGGAAGAAGUUUAUACGAUGAAUAAGCGUGUAAAUUGACUGUACUAGCAGAAUAAGCACCGGCAAACUCUGUGCCAGCAGCCGCCGUAA
rnacentral:rRNA from 1 species